rnacentral:tRNA from 1 species
AUGGCUUAGUUGGUUAAGCGUCUGACUUCAGCUCAGAUCAUGAUCUCACAGCUCAUGGGUUUGAGCCCUGUU